AGCAGCCGCGGUAAUUCCAGCUCCAAUAGCGUAUAUUAAAGUUGUUGCAGUUAAAAAGCUCGUAGUUGAAUUUCGGGGUUCUACCGUUGGUCGGGCUAUAGUCUGUACUGGCGUGUGGAAUUUCUACCUUCUGGGGAACUAUCAUGUUAUUAAUUUAGCGUGGUAGGAAACCAGAACCUUUACCUUGAAAAAUUAGAGUGUUCAAAGCAGGCUUACGUCUGAAUACAUUAGCAUGGAAUAAUAAAAUAGGACGGUGGUCCUGUUUUGUUGGUUUCUGAAUCACCGUAAUGAUUAAUAGGGAUAGUUGGGGGCAUUAGUAUUCAAUUGUCAGAGGUGAAAUUCUUGGAUUUAUUGAAGACUAACUUCUGCGAAAGCAUUUGCCAAGGAUGUUUUCAUUAAUCAAGAACGAAAGUUAGGGGAUCGAAGACGAUCAGGUACCGUCGUAGUCUUAACCAUAAACUAUGCCGACUAGGAAUCGGACGAUGUUAAUUUUUCUUGACUCGUUCGGCGC
rnacentral:sRNA from 1 species